ACGGGUGCCACUGCUUCCAGCGUUCCGACAUCAACCUCCCGGGGGUUUCGGCGUGGCCAUGGAUUUGUCCCUGGCUUAGAAAGGCUGCGAGUGCCCCAUGCUGGGAAUACUACAUCCUGAAGAAGCUUCACUUCCGAUGAUGAGGCCAACAAACUGCUUACAAACGCUAAUAUCCAACAACAACACGGCACACGAGGCCUCCAGUGGCGUAACCGGAAAACCCAUCCGAGCCUCACCCCGGUGCACCGCUCCAAACUCCAAACGCUCAUCAUGCAAAUGCGCAGCCUGAGGCGAUGCAAAGGCAAAACAGCCACAGCGCAUCAGACGAUACAAUUCUGCAGAGUGAAGACACUACAAUUAACACCGUACUUAACAACGCUCCUGCAUCCCCCAGCAAAGGAGUGGGGGCUGUGAGAUAACCUUGUGCGGCUUUCAUGUUUGGACACGCUGGUUGGACAUCUAUGUUAUUUGCCCAGGAGGAAAUCAUUUACGUGGCGUCUGUGUGUGAUGAAAAUCGUUGAUGAUAAGGAGACUUAUGGCGAUUUGACAUGCCUCUGCUGUAGCCAGAGAAGGCUUUAUCAGCAUCGUGAACUGGGAUAAACCUGCGCCACUUCAUCAUGCGAGGGAACACCAGGUUCCCAAGUAGCUGGGCAAAUACAUUGAAGAUAACAACGACUGAAAUUAAUUAGGCCAGGAUUAACUGAGGAGAGAUAAUUAAAGUUCAUGGUAAACAAAGAGGGUUUUGUUUGCGGUGCUCACCAAGUGUAAGGUCUUAAAAACGUGCUAAACGCAUCUCAUAGCGAGUCAGCGCGGUUUGUCUUCAUCACCUCUAUUGGUGCAGCACUACAUCAACAGAACGGCGCGGUAGCUAACCGCUAACUAGCCCCCCGGCUGGGCGGUACGCAACCAUUCAGUGGUGGAAAUGGUCAAUCACUGGAGCCGUAUCACGUGGUGUGGACCCCCCCCAGCCUAUAUAUCUGUGCACUUAACCAGAUAUAUAGGCUUUCUUGCUAAAACAUGGAGGAGCAGACAGAGUGAGACGCGUUUGUCUUACCGGUUCUGAUGGGGAGAGGAAAUAAGAAUUACAGAGUGUGAUGGCAAAAACAAUAUAAUGUAUAUCUGAGCAUUAAUUCUAUUACGAUAUUCCGAUGCCCCUUAGAGUCACGUCUAUUUAUUUAUUUGUUUGUUUAUUUAUCAGAGACUUUAUUGCCCCGUGCAUCGCCACUGCUGCUUUUCAUCGCGGACACAUUUGUCCCGUAUUUUCAUCCACGGCUUUGUGCGCCUCUCGACCGGCAAACCGGCGUUUGCGGCGCUCUCCCUCCGUGAAUCCAACCCGGUUCUACAAGCCGCCAAUGACGGCUUGUAUAAGCGCUCAUAUUUACGCAUUUCUUCCGACAGAAGUUCUUCAAUCUGCUCCGUUCUCUCGUAAACAUUCUUCGUUUUAAUAAUGGCGGUAUCGGGCUAUGAAAGCGGAAAUGUGAGACUCCGUAAAGGACGUAGUUAGCGGACCAAUCGCAGCCUGGUGCGCUGCGGGAGGCUCCCGUUGCUUGCGUCGCUUUCGACGCAAGCCUAGAAAAAUGGCUCGACACACGCAAGGAGGUGUAAAAAGCGACGCAAGGGACACGCAAGGGGGGCUUGCGUCUGCGUCGCUCUGAAAACGCAGAAGCAUAAAUCAGGCUUCACAAAGGGCCAGCUCUGGUGUAAAGGACAAUUCUAUACACAGGGUCUAUGUGGUGUUAUUGCAGUUUGUGUUGAAUCAUGAACCACAGUAAUAAAAGCUAAAAGAACACACUUUACACAUUUCAGUUAAGCAAUGCAGUAUGACUUUAAAUGUCCUGGGCUGAUGAUAUGUCAACUUGUGUCCCUUUUCUUUGGAACCCUGGGAUAAACAAUUUGCAAAUGUCUAUAUUAGUAAGGCACUCGCCUAUAUUGGCAAACUGUGGAUUGGAUCUUCACAGGGCCCUCAUGGCAAUAUCUCUAUUAAAAGAUCCCAUUAGCUAAAAGCAUGCUUUUCUAUACUUGUUAUAUCCCACUGUUUCCUAUUUGACUAUUAUUAUCUCCAAUACAUCAACUGUG
ensembl:lncRNA